rnacentral:rRNA from 1 species
AGGACGAACGCUGGCGGCGUGCUUAACACAUGCAAGUCGAGCGAGGCCCCUUCCUUCGGGAGGGAGCCCUAGCGGCGAACGGGUGAGUAACACGUGGGCAAUCUGCCCCUAGCACUGGGAUAACUCCGGGAAACCGGGCUAAUACCGGAUAUGACCUCCGAGGGCAUCCUCUGGAGGUGGAAAGGAUUCUGGCUAGGGAUGAGCCCGCGGCCUAUCAGCUAGUUGGUGGGUAAUGGCCCACCAAGGCGACGACGGGUA